rfam:Callithrix jacchus chromosome 10, whole genome shotgun sequence
UUGGCUUGGUCAAGUCAGUGUUGAAAGGAUCUCCUGCUCUUUCAAGGGGAUCUGGGGCUCUCAAAG